GAUGGUAUAGCUCAAGUGGUAGAGUACAUGCUUAGCAUGCAUGAGGUCCUGGGUUCAAUCCCCAGUACUCCUCU
rnacentral:tRNA from 1 species